UGCCAGAAAGCAUUUUUCAUUCUCCCUUAGACCAAUUCCCAGGGACAGCAAGUGUCUCAGGGUCUCCAUUGCUCUGAGCAGACACCAUGACCGUGGCCACUCUUAUAAGGAAACAUUUAACUGGGGCCGGCUUACAGUUCAGAGGCUUAGUCCAUUACUGUCAUGGUGGGAAGCAUGGCGGCACACAGGCAAACCUGACGCUGGAGAGGUGGAUGAGUGUCCUACAUCUGGAUCUGCAGGCAGCAGGAAGAGAGAGUGCUCAAAGCCCACCCCCUGUGACGUACUUCCUCCCACAAAGCCACACCUCCAAUAAUGCCACUCCUUAUGAGUCUAGGGGUUCCAUUUUCAGGAAGUAUGUUACACUCGAUUGGCCGGAUCUACAGUGUCUAGCAGAAUAAUAUUCAAAGAAAAGGACCCCAAAAAGGCUCAUUGGGUAGCUAAAUGAUUGAACGCUAGUAGCCGCUUUUAUGGUUUUGUGUUUAUUUUUGGAAGCGUGAGGCUGGGGAAAUAAUUCAGUCACUAAAAUGCUUGCUGCACAAGCCUGAAGAGUCGAGUUUUAGCUCCAGUACCCAUGAAAAGAAACUGCUGUGACCACAGUGCUAGACAGGAACAGGUCUAGCCUGAUGGGCAAUCCCUAGGUCCUGUCAUAAGGCUCGAAGUGAGUCUUAACUACCCGGAGACCGCCCGAGUGAGACGGAGUUUUAUGCAGACGCAAGAGGUUUAUUUCUCCGAUGCGUCAGGGUCGACCCUCAAUCAGCCCCUCAUGGAGUAACAUCAUCAAACAAGUUGAUGGAGUUGAAAAAGAGUCUGCCGGCCAUAGUGACCUACAUUUGUGAUCUCAACUUGUGAAUUCACAGGAGGCUUAACUGCAGGCUUCAACUGAGGACCGAAGGAACUUCUGGUCAGUUUGUUUGUUAAGAACCAGCGACAGGAAGGCAGCCUCAGUCCCAAGCUGAGGAAGCCAGAGAUCUAGUCAGCGCUACGGUAGAGAGGAACUCUCGUAAGCAUCACCUGUAAAUGAAAAAUAAAAAAUAAAAAAACCCUGUGAAUGAAUGAAUAAAUAAAUAAAUAAAUAAAAAACAAACAAACAAACAAA